rnacentral:rRNA from 1 species
AUGAACGCUGGCGGCGUGCCUAAUACCUGCCAGUCGAGCGAACGGACGAGAAGCUUGCUUCUCUGAUGUUAGCGGCGGACGGGUGAGUAACACGUGGAUAACCUACCUAUAAGACUGGGAUAACUUCGGGAAACCGUAGCUAAUACCGGAUAAUAUUUUGAACCGCAUGGUUCAAAAGUGAAAGACGGUCUUGCUGUCACUUAUAGAUGGAUCCGCGCUGCAUUAGCUAGUUGGUAAGGUAACGGCUUACCAAGGCAACGAUGCAUAGCCGACCUGAGAGGGUGAUCGGCCACACUGGAACUGAGACACGGUCCAGACUCCUACGGGAGGCAGCAGUAGGGAAUCUUCCGCAAUGGGCGAAAGCCUGACGGAGCAACGCCGCGUGAGUGAUGAAGGUCUUCGGAUCGUAAAACUCUGUUAUUAGGGAAGAACAUAUGUGUAAGUAACUGUGCUCAUCUUGACGGUACCUAAUCAGAAAGCCACGGCUAACUACGUG